GCGGGCGUAGCUCAGUUGGCAGAGCAUUUGCUUCCCAAGCAAAGGGUCGAGGGUUCGAGUCCCUUCGCCCGCU
rnacentral:tRNA from 1 species